UCCGGGAUCGUCCAAAUGGCAGGACAGCGGGUUUUGGUCCCGUUAAUAGGGGUUCGAGUCCUCUUCCCGGAACCA
rnacentral:tRNA from 1 species